rnacentral:rRNA from 1 species
UACGUAGGGUGCAGGCGUUAAUCGGAAUUACUGGGCGUAAAGCGAGUGUAGGUGGUUGUCCAAGUUGGAUGUGAAAGCCUUGAGCUCAACUCAAGAAAUGCAUUCAGGACUGGGCGGCUAGAGGACCGGAGAGGAUAGUGGAAUUCCCAGUGUAGUGGUGAAAUACGUAGAGAUUGGGAAGAACACCAGUGGCGAAGGCGGCUAUCUGGACGGUUUCUGACACUAAGACUCGAAAGCGUGGGGAGCAAACAGG